rnacentral:rRNA from 1 species
GAUGAACGCUGGCGGCGUGCUUAACACAUGCAAGUCGAGCGGAGUUAUAGUCUUCGGAUUAUAACUUAGCGGCGGACGGGUGAGUAACGUGUGGGUAACCUGCCAUAUACUGGGGAAUAAUCAUUUGAAAAGAUGACUAAUACCGCAUGUCGUCACUGAAAGGCAUCUUUCAGUGAAAAAAGGAGCAAUCCGGUAUAUGAUGGACCCGCAUCUGAUUAGCUAGUUGGUGAGAUAAUAGCUCACCAAGGCGACGAUCAGUAGCCGACCUGAGAGGGUGACCGGCCACAUUGGGACUGAGACACGGCCCAAACUUCUACGGAAGGCAGCAGUGGGGAAUAUUGCACAAUGGGCGAAAGCCUGAUGCAGCAACGCCGCGUGAAGGAAGAAGGGUUUCGGCUCGUAAACUUCUAUCAAUAGGGAAGAAACAAAUGACGGUACCUAAAUAAGAAGCCCCGGCUAACUACGUGCCAGCAGCCGCGGUAAUAC